GCUUGUCUGUCUUGUGUUCCUGUUUGUCGCGUUUUCUGGGUGGACGUGCACCUCAGCCAAGAUAGCGUUUCUAUCCGCAGCAUAACAGGCUGACCUGAAAGGAUCACUAAUUAUCUUCUGUCCUCCUCGCCUGGUCAAAUGUCUGUACAGGAUCCAACAGAACUGCAGACAAGCUGGGGAAGAUGGAUGUACUCAAGAAGGACUUGCUCAUCACGGUGGCCCUGUUAUCUUGAUUGAUCCUGCUCACACAAGGUGGAGCUUGAAGACUCCUGCCAUCUGGGGCCUCAUGGAAACAGUGGAAAUGUGCAUAUGCCAACUUCCAUGUUCUUCUGCUCCAUAAAUCCCAGUCAAUGUGAAAUGUAACACACGAGCCUGCUGCGCCUCCCAGAAUCCUAUAUAAAUAACCCCUUGCUAUCAGACUUUCAUUAAGCGAAUGUUAAAAGGGGGGUCCUGCUAAGUAGAGGCAAGAAACUGUACUCGAUGGUGGAAUAAGCAAUAAAAGGACAUUGAUGGAGUGGCAUAGCGUGGCGGAUGCACUCUAUUUCAGGCACAGUGAGAUUUUUCUGAUCCUGAAUUUCAGUGGUUAGACUGUCCCCAUGAAAGGGAGAGUUGCAGCCCCCUAUCUGAAUGUCCUACACCACUGGAGGAUGUAGGACUCCCGGGCUCAUGCCGUUUGAGCAGCAAGUGCUGCAAUUAUUGGUGACACACUUGUUUACUGGCAUCUUUACCAGUGGUGGAAGGAGAUUGACAUUACUGCAGGUGACAGUGAGUUGUGGUGUGUGUUGCUAAUCUCUCAUAAAUUUGCAAGUGUAAUUUAGACAAGCAGGCACCAGAUGCAAUAUUAACUACUGAGCUUUUGCAAUAUUGUCUGGAAUUGACAAGGAUGUGGCUGCUGGGCUGACCACCUGCUCGGAAACUGCUGGGUGAUCAUCUGACCCUGUGCUGAUGGCUGCUGUUCUGGAAUCCCAAAAUGUAUUUUUGGGGGAGAGGAAUGCAAUAAGAUGUAGACAAAGAACUAUGGCCUAUAAAGGCAGUACAGUGUGAU